UCUUAUAUUCCAUAAAUUCAUUCAUCUAAUCAUAUAUAUGCAGUUUUUUCGUGAGCUGUGAAGCUUCUCCCGGUUAGAGUUCUACACAUGAUUUUUGUUUGGUGAAGUGGUACUGUCUUCAAGAAACAAAUGAAGGAUUAUUUGGUGGGUUGAGGAUAUAAGAAAAUUGCAUUAUAGUUGGCAGAACUUCUCCAUCAAGCCCAUAAUAAAAAAAAUUAAACUGUAGUUCAUCAGAUCUCAACCAGUUGCAAAUAAGAAAAAAAAAGACAAAGAGAUGCAUUGCCCAUGUUUCGUUAGAAAAUUGGACCAGACUAUACAUCACUGCAGCGUACCAAUAUCAUUUCCUCAUUAGCAUGCCAUAGGGUUAAAGUUUAAUGAUUGAUGCUUGGUGAAUCUAAUUCAGUUUCAGGAUAUGUUGGAAUUCAGAAGAGCUUUAUUCACUGGUUUUGUAACUACAAAUGGUUACAUGUAUGUUGGGUCAGCUACUGUUCUUUUGUAAGAGAGGGCAACUUCAAUUUUAACAAUAUAAGGAGACCAAAGAGCAACUGGCUUGUGGCCAGCUCAUGGUACGAUGUGUUCUGCUGCAGGUUGGAUGAGGAGAUGAAGGUCAAGCAGAUGAGGAAGGAGCUUGUGCCAAGAGCACAUCUGAUGCUAGAUUGUGCCUAAAAGGUCGCAGGUCUCGAGUCGUCUUCUCUCCUCUUUUAAUCUCAUUCAGUUUACAUGAUCAAAUAUAAGACUUAUUUCUUAUAUUCCAUAAAUUCAUUCAUCUAAUCAUAUAUAUGCAGUUUUUUUGUGAGCUGUGAAGCUUCUCCUGGUUAGAGUUCUACACAUGUUUUUUGUUUGGUGAAGUGGUACUGUCUUCAAGAAACAAAUGAAUGAUUGCAUCCUAUGACAUUACAGAAGGUCACCUGUUGUGUCGUGAGCGACUGAGCGCACUUUGACCACUACACUCCAGUGUCCAAUUCCUUAAAACUGGAAAUGUUUGCCCAAUCGCUGAUAUGAUCCAUUUGGUCCCCCACUUUUGGAUUUUCUAGAACAAAAGGAAGGAAUAAUAUGAAGUUUUAUUUGAAAGUUUAUCAUUUUGAUAUUUUGCAAAUAGUCUUACGAUGAAGAAGCAUUGCAAACGUGGCCAUUUCGGUACUAA